GAAACUUAAAGGAAUUGACGGA
rnacentral:ncRNA from 3 species